GACGAACGCUGGCGGCGUGCUUAACACAUGCAAGUCGAGCGGUAAGGCCCGUUUCGGGGGUACACGGAGCGGCGAACGGGUGAGUAACACGUGGGUGACCUGCCCUCAGCUCUGGGAUAAGCCUGGGAAACUGGGUCUAAUACCGGAUAUGACUCCAUGACGCAUGUUGUGGGGUGGAAAGCCUUGUGCGGCUGGGGAUGGGCCCGCGGCCUAUCAGCUUGUUGGUGGGGUGAUGGCCUACCAAGGCGACGACGGGUAGCCGGCCUGAGAGGGCGACCGGCCACACUGGGACUGAGACACGGCCCAGACUCCUACGGGAGGCAGCAGUGGGGAAUCUUGCGCAAUGGGCGAAAGCCUGACGCAGCGACGCCGCGUGA
rnacentral:rRNA from 1 species